AUUGAACGCUGGCGGCAUGCCUUACACAUGCAAGUCGAACGGUAACGGGCCUUCGGGUGCCGACGAGUGGCGAACGGGUGAGUAAUGCAUCGGAACGUACCUUUCAGUGGGGGAUAACGUAGCGAAAGUUACGCUAAUACCGCAUAUUCUGUGAGCAGGAAAGCAGGGGAUCGCAAGACCUUGCGCUGAUUGAGCGGCCGAUGUCAGAUUAGCUAGUUGGUGAGGUAAAGGCUCACCAAGGCGACGAUCUGUAGCGGGUCUGAGAGGAUGAUCCGCCACACUGGAACUGAGACACGGUCCAGACUCCUACGGGAGGCAGCAGUGGGGAAUUUUGGACAAUGGGGGCAACCCUGAUCCAGCCAUGCCGCGUGAGUGAAGAAGGCCUCGGUUGUAAGA
rnacentral:rRNA from 1 species